UACGUAGGGUGCAAGCGUUAAUCGGAAUUACUGGGCGUAAAGCGUGCGCAGGCGGCUUUGCAAGUCCCAUGUGAAAGCCCACGGCUUAACCGUGGAAGUGCAUGGGAAACUGCAGAGCUUGAGUACUUAAGAGGAUCGCGGAAUUCCCGGUGUAGAGGUGAAAUUCGUAGAUAUCGGGAGGAACACCAGUGGCGAAGGCGGCGAUCUGGGAAGUUACUGACGCUGAGGUGCGAAAAGCGUGGGGAGCAACAGG
rnacentral:rRNA from 1 species